rnacentral:rRNA from 1 species
GACGAACGCUGGCGGCGUGCUUAACACAUGCAAGUCGAACGGAAAGGCCCUGCUUUUGUGGGGUGCUCGAGUGGCGAACGGGUGAGUAACACGUGAGUAACCUGCCCUUGACUUUGGGAUAACUUCAGGAAACUGGGGCUAAUACCGGAUAGGAGCUCCUGCUGCAUGGUGGGGGUUGGAAAGUUUCGGCGGUUGGGGAUGGACUCGCGGCUUAUCAGCUUGUUGGUGGGGUAGUGGCUUACCAAGGCUUUGACGGGUAGCCGGCCUGAGAGGGUGACCGGCCACAUUGGGACUGAGAUACGGCCCAGACUCAUACGGGAGGCAGCAGUGGGGAAUAUUGCACAAUGGGCGGAAGCCUGAUGCAGCAACGCCGCGUGCGGGAUGAAGGCCUUCGGGUUGUAAACCGCUUUCGCCUGUGACGAAGCGUGAGUGACGGUAAUGGGUAAAGAAGCACCGGCUAACUACGUG